GUCAUCUGUCCAGCCUUCGGUUGAAGAUGGCCUCACAUCUCGCGUAGCAGCCUGAGCCCUGAGCCUUGAGCCUCCUCUCUCUCUCGAUCUUCAAUCACUCUCUCAAACCCUCUGUCUCUCAUUCCCAACACCAUCUCUCGAUUUCUCUCUAUUUCUGCCUUCAUCCAAAAGAAUUUCACACGCCUCCACCUCGGCCAAGCUCGCGCCGCCGUCAAUUUCGCUCUAUUUCUGGCACAUUCAAUCUCAUUAUUUGCAUAUUUAAUUUAAUGAUUGUGGUCAGAUCCAUGUUUGAAAAGGAUGGGUCUGCAAAGGGAAUUGUUUUCAGCCAGUUCACAUCGUUCUUGGAUAUUUCAAGGUUCGAAUACACCCAGAUGAACAAGUCCAACGACAACGAUUGGUUCCGAAUCUCCGCUGCCAAUCCCAAGGGUACACGAUGGACUGGCAAGUGCUGGUACGUCUACACCUCCUCAAGUACGAGUUCGAUCUCCAGUUCAAUAUCUCCAUCACCUACCCCGCCACCGCACCUGAACUCGAGCUCCCUAACUAGACGGCAAGACCCAAAAGAUGUAUAGAGGGGGGAAGAUCUGCUUGACAGUGCAUUUCAAGCCGCUUUGGGCCAAGAACUGAUAGAGAGAGGCAACAAUUGCUGAGGCUUAAGCAUUAGGGGCAGUAGUUUUCUCUCAAGGUCCUUUGUUUGCAGGUGUUAAAAAAAUGUGAAGGCUUCAAGUGACAAUGUCCUUGUUUGUUGGUCUCUGGAUAGUUUGAUAUUUCCUUGUAUAUCUCAUCGUUUUAUUGUUUACUUUAGAAGAUUACUUGUUUUUUCUUUUUUGUUCGGACAUCUUGUAUGUACAUUUUCAUAUAUUUUAUAAUUAAAUACUUUUGCUUGGUUAA